GAUGAACGCUGGCGGCGUGCCUAAUACAUGCAAGUAGAACGCUGAAGGAAGGAGCUUGCUCUUUCCGGAUGAGUUGCGAACGGGUGAGUAACGCGUAGGUAACCUGCCUGGUAGCGGGGGAUAACUAUUGGAAACGAUAGCUAAUACCGCAUAACAGUAGAUGUUGCAUGAUAUCUACUUAAAAGGUGCAAUUGCACCACUACCAGAUGGACCUGCGUUGUAUUAGCUAGUUGGUGAGGUGACGGCUCACCAAGGCGACGAUACAUAGCCGACCUGAGAGGGUGAUCGGCCACACUGGGACUGAGACACGGCCCAGACUCCUACGGGAGGCAGCAGUAGGGAAUCUUCGGCAAUGGACGGAAGUCUGACCGAGCAACGCCGCGUGAGUGAAGAAGGUUUUCGGAUCGUAAAGCUCUGUUGUAAGAGAAGAACGAGUGUGGGAGUGGAAAGUUCACACUGUGACGGUAUCUUACCAGAAAGGGACGGCUAACUACGUG
rnacentral:rRNA from 1 species